UUGACAGCCCUGGAGACUGAAAUCCUUUAUUCACAAAACAGGUAACAGCAUUGACAGCAUCCUCACACUGCUGCACUCAUAUUUCUCAAGGUCAACUCUGUCCUGAAGGAACUGCUGUAGAUAUGAGAAGGGAGUGAAUGUCCAUGUCCUUCAUCUCCAUUCUUGA
rnacentral:sRNA from 1 species